UACGGAGGGAGCUAGCGUUGUUCGGAAUUACUGGGCGUAAAGCGCACGUAGGCGGCUUUGUACGUUAGCGGUGAAAGCCCGGAGCUCAACUCCGGAACUGCCAUUGAAACUGUGAGACUUGAGGACGAGAGAGGUGAGUGGAAUUCCCAGUGUAGAGGUGAAAUUCGUAGAUAUUGGGAAGAACACCGGUGGCGAAGGCGGCUCACUGGCUCGUAUCUGACGCUCAGGCGCGACAGCGUGGGGAGCAAACAGG
rnacentral:rRNA from 1 species